GGAUAUUGCUCAAUUGGUAGAGUGCUUGCUUCAGAUACACAAGGCCCUGGGUUCAAUUCCCAGCACCA
rnacentral:tRNA from 1 species